rnacentral:rRNA from 1 species
GACGAACGCUGGCGGCGUGCUUAACACAUGCAAGUCGAACGGAAAGGCCCUGCUUUUGUGGGGUGUUCGAGUGGCGAACGGGUGAGUAACACGUGAGUAACCUGCCCUUGACUUUGGGAUAACUUCAGGAAACUGGGGCUAAUACCGGAUAGGAGCUCCUGCUGCAUGGUGGGGGUUGGAAAGUUUCGGCGGUUGGGGAUGGACUCGCGGCUUAUCAGCUUGUUGGUGGGGUAGUGGCUUACCAAGGCUUUGACGGGUAGCCGGCCUGAGAGGGUGACCGGCCACAUUGGGACUGAGAUACGGCCCAGACUCCUACGGGAGGCAGCAGCGGGGAAUAUUGCACAAUGGGCGGAAGCCUGAUGCAGCAACGCCGCGUGCGGGAUGACGGCCUUCGGGUUGUAAACCGCUUUCGCCUGUGACGAAGCGUGAGUGACGGUAAUGGGUAAAGAAGCACCGGCUAACUACGUG